rnacentral:rRNA from 1 species
UACGUAGGGUGCAAGCGUUGUUCGGAUUUACUGGGCGUAAAGGGCGCGUAGGCGGCGCGACAAGUCACUUGUGAAAUCUCCGGGCUUAACUCGGAACGGUCAAGUGAAACUGUCAUGCUAGAGUGCAGAAGGGGCAAUCGGAAUUCUUGGUGUAGCGGUGAAAUGCGUAGAUAUCUGGAGGAACACCGGUGGCGAAGGCGGCAUCCUGGACCGGCAUUGACGCUGAGGCGCGAAAGCCAGGGGAGCAAACGGG